rnacentral:rRNA from 1 species
GAUGAACGCUGGCGGCGUGCCUAAUACAUGCAAGUCGAGCGAACGGACGAGAAGCUUGCUUCUCUGAUGUUAGCGGCGGACGGGUGAGUAACACGUGGAUAACCUUCCUAUAAGACUGGGAUGACUUCGGGAAACCGGAGCUAAUACCGGAUAAUAUUUUGAACCGCAUGGUUCAAAAGUGAAAGACGGUCUUGCUGUCACUUAUAGAUGGAUCCGCGCUGCAUUAGCUAGUUGGUAAGGUAACGGCUUACCAAGGCAACGAUGCAUAGCCGACCUGAGAGGGUGAUCGGCCACACUGGAACUGAGACACGGUCCAGACUCCUACGGGAGGCAGCAGUAGGGAAUCUUCCGCAAUGGGCGAAAGCCUGACGGAGCAACGCCGCGUGAGUGAUGAAGGUCUUCGGAUCGUAAAACUCUGUUAUUAGGGAAGAACAUAUGUGUAAGUAACUGUGCACAUCUUGACGGUACCUAAUCAGAAAGCCACGGCUAACUACGUG